AAUAUUGGACAAUGGUGGCAACCCUGAUCCAGCCAUGCCGCGUGUGUGAAGAAGGUCUUCGUAUUGUAAAGCACUUUAAGUUGGGAGGAAGGGCUUUAGGCUAUUAUCUUUAUGUUUUUAUGUUACCAAUAGAAUAAGCACCGGCUAACUUUGUGCCUGCAGCCGCGGUAAUAAAGAGGGUGCAAGCGUUAAUCGGACUUACUGGGCUUAAAGCGCGCGUAGGUGGUUCAGUAAGAUGGGUGUGAAAUCCCCGGGCUUAACCUGGGAACUGCUUUCAUAACUGCUGAGCUAGAGUACGGUAGAGGGUAGUGGAAUUUCCUGUGUAGCGGUGAAAUGCGUAGAUAUAGGAAGGAACACCAGUGGCGAAGGCGACUACCUGGACUGAUACUGACACUGAGGUGCGAAAGCGUGGGGAGCAAAC
rnacentral:rRNA from 1 species